ensembl:ncRNA T26C12.9 ncRNA
AGUAUCGAUAAAGAAGCCGCCCAGUGUAGUGUUUAUACGCCAAUACGCCACCGAUACGUCACGUCCUUGAACCGGAGAGGGUGGCUCUCAUCAAAAGAAACUAAAAGUCUUGGCACCCUCUUCAGAAGCUCACAAUU